rnacentral:sRNA from 1 species
GAAAAUUUGUAAAGGUCAUUUCUAUAAUUUGAGACUAUCAGUUACGGAUCUCUUGUUACGACCACUUCAAACGCAACACAGUUCGUGUUGUUUAGUAGCCAAUUUUCUCCCUUCUUAUCGUACUAGAGUCUUUUUGAACUCUCUACUUACAGUAUGUGUUUAGCUCAGUUACUCAAUUACUCAUGUGCAUUGGAAAUGUAUUCAAGCACGUUGGAUAAUUAGUUGUUCUAACCCAGUAGGAAGUAGCGUAUUGUGUUAUUGCUAAUUCAGUAUGUAACAUCUUCAAUUGUAAAGACAGCUAAAAUGGUAGUGGGCGUGGUAAUGUCAGUUAUUGUCAUUUCAAUCUGGAGUUCCGCCUCUGCUACUAAUGACACUGUGUUAACAAUCAAGUAUAAUGGUACAAGAAUUACAUUCUCAAGAUCAAAUCUAGUUACAUUCUAUGUGUGUCUUUGCAACAAAGUCAGGAGUCCUUGUUUGGCUCGGUCGGAAAAAAAAUUCAGAAUGUUUCUGAGGUUGACAUUAACAUUGUAUCAGGAAAAUACGCCGGCGAAAGUGAAGACAAUUUAGUGAGCACGUGUAAGGUCGGUGAAGAUAAAAGCGGUGAAUUCCUGAUCAACUGUACUAAAGUAGUCCACAGCAAGCCUGUUAUUUCCAUCCAUUUUUCAGACGUUACAAAGAAACUCAACGAUACUUGCGUUGGUUCUUUUGUCAACAUAGAACUGGUUAAUGCAACACUAAUGUCUGGGUCUCCUGACGUCAUAAUAUCUAAUGAGACCUCGCAAAUUACUGGUUCCGAGCGUCCCAAAAUUUCCACGAAAGAGCCUUUUCUCUCUCACGAUUAUAUUAUUAUAAUGGCCGUUCUACUAACAAUGUCGUGCGCAUGCAUAGCGAUCUUUGUGCUUUUGUCCAUGUUAAGACAUAAAGGCUGGAAAUGUAUGAACUGUCCACUGUAUAAAAAUACGUCCAGCGCGAACAUUAAAAAUGAGCAACCAGAAUCGCAUUACGCAUUCAUUGACGAUAUCUGCUCUAAUCCACCUACCAAGUAUUCUGGUUUGAGAAACAUAUCAAGAAAUAUUCAGCACACGUAUAAUACGUCCAAUGCAAGCAGAAAGGAUGUCUCAUUUGAUUCUUUCCCUCCGAUAAAGACUAGUAGAGGAUCAAGCAAUAACUCGCUCUCUGUUGUGGAAAUAUACAAUGUGGCAUCCAAUGUCACGGGUCUUCCAGACAAAACUGAUCAGAAUAGCAGUUUUGACAGCACUAAUAAUAAUGUAUAUAGCAAUGACAAAUCUAAAUUUGAUCCGUACUACGAAGAAAACUUGUAUAAAACGCCGAAAUGUCAAUUGGAAGACAUUGACUCAGGGCCAAACUACAGUGUUGUAAAUUUGAAUGAAUAGGCUUUUCAAUGAGAAUAACAAAAAAGUACAGAGACUUGAUUUUUAACAUUUCUUAAGACGAAAGCCUGAUUCUAGGAUUAAGCGUUGGCUCUAUGCUUUAAGUGUUUAUGUAUUAGAACAUUGUAUGAGGAAGUAAAAUUUGAAAAGUCUGAAACACAAACAGU